UACGGAGGGUGCAAGCGUUAUCCGGAUUUACUGGGUUUAAAGGGUGCGUAGGCGGUUAAUUAGGUCAGUGGUGAAAUCUUCAGGCUUAACCUGGGAACUGCCAUUGAUACUAUUUGUCUUGAAUACUUUGGAGGUAAGCGGAAUAUGUCAUGUAGCGGUGAAAUGCUUAGAUAUGACAUAGAACACCAAUUGCGAAGGCAGCUUACUACACAGUAAUUGACACUGAGGCACGAAAGCGUGGGGAUCAAACAGG
rnacentral:rRNA from 1 species